rnacentral:rRNA from 1 species
AGCCGAUGAAGGACGCGGCAAGCGGCGAAACGCCCCGGGGAGCCGCAAGCGGGCGUUGAUCCGGGGAUCUCCGAAUGGGGAAACCCGCUUGGGGUAAUACCCAAGCAUCCGCUGAUGAAUCCAUAGUCAGCGGAGGGGAACCGGGCGAACUGAAACAUCUUAGUAGCCCGAGGAAAAGAAAGCAAAAGCGAUUCCCCGAGUAGUGGCGAGCGAAAGGGGAGAAGCCCAAACCUACCGCUUAGGCGGUAGGGGUUCGGGCCCACCGCAAAAGUGUGCGAGUACUCUAGGCGAACGGACCUGGAAAGGCCGGCCAUAGAGGGUGAAAGCCCCGUAGCCGAAAGGGGAAAGCGCACUGGUGGGUACCAGAGUACCACGGGAUAGGCGACCCUGUGGGAAGGCGGGAGGACCACCUCCUAAGGCUAAAUACUCCAGGUGACCGAUAGCGCAUAGUACCGUGAGGGAAAGGUGAAAAGAACCCCGGGAGGGGAGUGAAAGAGAACCUGAAACCAUGUGCCCACAAGCAGUCAGAGCCUGGGUAAUACCAGGUGAUGGCGUACUUUUUGCAGUACGGGCCGGCGAGUUAUGGUAGCGAGCGAGGUUAAGGGUAGAGAUACCCGGAGCCGAAGCGAAAGCGAGUCCGAAGAGGGCGGGAAGUUCGCUGCCAUAGACCCGAAACCGUGCGACCUACCCAUGGCCAGGGUGAAGCCGGAGUAAGAUCUGGUGGAGGCCCGAACCCGUUGGCCGUGAAAAGCCAUGGGAUGAGCUGUGGGUAGAGGUGAAAUGCCAAUCGAGCACGGAGAUAGCUGGUUCUCCCCGAAAUAGCUUUAGGGCUAGCCUCAGGGUAAAGCCUGUGGAGGUAGAGCCACUGACUGGGCUAGGGGCCGAGAGGCUACCGAACCCUAUCAAACUCCGAAUGCCACAGGCAAGUACCUGGGAGUCAGACCACGAGUGAUAAGAUCCGUGGUCGAGAGGGGAACAGCCCAGACCUCCAGCUAAGGUCCCGAAGGGCAUGUUAAGUGGGAAAGGAAGUGGGACUUCGAAGACAACCGGGAUGUUGGCUUAGAAGCAGCCAUACAUUUAAAGAGUGCGUA